rnacentral:rRNA from 1 species
AUUGAACGCUGGCGGCAUGCCUUACACAUGCAAGUCGAACGGCAGCACGGGGCAACCUGGUGGCGAGUGGCGAACGGGUGAGUAAUGCAUUGGAACGUACCUUUCAGUGGGGGAUAACGUAGCGAAAGUUACGCUAAUACCGCAUAUUCUGUGAGCAGGAAAGCAGGGGAUCGCAAGACCUUGCGCUGAUUGAGCGGCCGAUGUCAGAUUAGCUAGUUGGUGAGGUAAAGGCUCACCAAGGCGACGAUCUGUAGCGGGUCUGAGAGGAUGAUCCGCCACACUGGAACUGAGACACGGUCCAGACUCCUACGGGAGGCAGCAGUGGGGAAUUUUGGACAAUGGGGGCAACCCUGAUCCAGCCAUGCCGCGUGAGUGAAGAAGGCCGUCGGGUUGUAAAGCUCUUUCGGCCGGGAAGAAAUCGCACGGGCUAAUACCCUGUGUGGAUGACGGUACCGGAAUAAGAAGCACCGGCUAACUACGUGCCAGCCGCCGCAGUAAAAC